CCCUUUGUUUAUGUUACCACAUGCUGCUUGUCAUUUUUUGUUACAAUAUUACGUCGCGGCUUAGCAUAGUGCUACCGGCCACAUUGUGACUCGAGUUGCAUCCUCUUGCGCGUGUUAUUUCUGGAAUCUACCCUCGGCCUGAACCGAGCACACGAGGAUCCCGUUUCAUUUAGCCAGCAAGAGCAGAGGACACACACACACACACACACACACACACACACACACACACACACACACACACACACACACACACACACACACACACACACACACACACACACACACACACACACACACACACACACACACACACACACACACACACACACACACACACACACACACACACACACACACCCCGAGGCAGUUUGUUUUUAGGUCUGGGACCUCAUAGAUCAGGAGGAGGAGUGUUGCCGUGUACAGAUGCUGAUGUUCACUUCCCCUGACAUCGUCUCUGCCCGUCUGUCGCCGCCCGCCCGCUCCCCCGUCUGUUGUCCUGCGCUUUGAUCCGGACCACGUACGGAAAUAGACGGGAGGGCGGGACGGAGGAGCCACUUGGAGCUGUCAAUCAUCGCCUUACUGCCACUGACGCAGCUUUUACAGGCCCUUUCCCUUUUCUGCCUUGUAGCCGAAAUGUAGCCGAGGUGAAAAGUUGUGAAGUUUCUUCGGUGCGCUCGCAGAAAUCUGCCAACGUGAAACCAAAACUAACCAGACGGAAUUUAGUGAGGCAGAUAAUGUCCAACCGGCGGAUAAAUAAGAUGAACGGAGCGGUUGUCUCUCCGUGAUGUUUUGAUAUCGACGGGAACUUAAGAGACACGCGCCGAUUCGGAGCACGGGAAUCCAAAAAUCAGGUAUGGCGAAAGGCAGCACUGACUGUUCAUCUGUCUAUUAAUAAGACCUGAUCAAAACUGUCUGCUCGCCAUUUUAGGUUUGGAGGGAUGAUACUGCUCAUCAGGUUGAGUUGCUUCUGUCCAUUUUAGGUCUAUAUGCAGAGCUGCGUUUGAGGAAGCUGCGGAAAACCACUUGUCACCUCCUCCUUCGACUGUUUUACAGUUAUUCUGAAAUGACAUGUUGUGUUUGAGAUGCUCCUCGAAGGUACGAGUGUCACGUGGUGCGCUAAGUAGAUGCUUUUCAGCAAUUGAAGUCACGGUCCGUUCACUCGCCGUCACAUUAUAUUAUAAUUACCGGCGAGGAAUGUGGGAAAUACACAGCAAUUUAGUCAAUGUGCUGUGUAUUAAUGUGGACGAGGGACGGAGACCAGGCACUUCACCGGCAAAACACUUAUACAAUAAUAAUAAUAAAUAAUAAUAACAAUAAUAUAAAAAAAAUCAUUGAAAAAGAAGACUUGUAUCUUAGCUGUCACACUGUCCAGUGCUUGAAAGGUCACAGGUUUAAUUCUCCCAAGAGACCGUGUGUGUGUGUGUGUGUGUGUGUGUGUGUGUGUGUGUGUGUGUGUGUGUGUGUGUGUGUGUGUGUGUGUGUGUGUGUGUGUGUGUGUGUGUGUGUGUGUGUGUGUGUGUGUGUGUGUGUGUGUGUGUGUGUGUGUGUGUGUGUGUGUGUGUGUGUGUGUGUGUGUGAGAGAGUCAACAAGCAUGUGUCCUGUCCACCACGUGUCCUUGAACAAAAGACACUAAUCCAUAUACCUGCUGGUUGGUUGUAAAUCACUCCUCAGCUACAGUAAAUGCCUUUAAAUAUAAAUGCGGUGAGGAAUGGGAACAAUGCCGAGCCUCGUCUUUUUAGGGGAACCAUGAAGGACAAAUGGGAACACAACACUUCGAGGCAGGACGUCGUUUUGAAAGACUGGAAAACUGCUAAGAUGUGACUUGAGGUUGAUGAAAGUCAUUUGAGAGGCAUUUAAGAUCAGAAUUAUGAUUGUUACGCGAGUGUGUGUUGUAGCCGUUCCUUUUUUGGGUUGCUAGGCCAUAUGGUCGGGAACCUGUGUCCUGUUUCUGAGCAUGGCCACUGAACACACUGUUACUGUACCUGGAGGGAUCAGUACUUAAUCCACAGAGAUCUUCAAAUUAAUAACAUGCGCGAUGCUAUUCAUAUGAUGCAUACAGUCUUAAAGUCGUUAAAACGAUCACAUUCAUAAAAGGACUGUCCCUUUUUGAUCGCCUUAAAAAAAGCAUAUCAUGAGCUGUGCAUGUUAUUAUCAAUCAAAAAUCUUUGGUCCCAGGGAGCAGGGCUACACACACACACACACACACACACACACACACACACACACACACACACACACACAGACUUACCAGUAAAUACACUGAGAAUCAAUGCCAGCAAAAUCUCGAUCUUGGAAAGAUUCAUAUCUCCACCACCAGAACCCUUUUUGUCGUUGAAGCCGCCUUGAAAAUCUACAGCAUCAGUACAAUAAUGCGGUCGCGUUAAUGACACGAGGACCUAUCACCAGUUCUUCACGCAGCUGAGUCACUCUGGAGUCUGAGCGAGUCGAGGAGUGGGACGGUGGGAUCGGCCAGUAUGUGAACUGUGAGCUCUGGUUUCUCAUGGCGAGCUCCGUCCCCGCCUCCCCCCACCCAGCAGCAUCCGAACCUCUCAACACACGUCCAGGCACGACAGACAGCUGUGCGUUGAUUCGAUGAUCCCCCUUCAGCAUAGCGAGGGAAACUGAAGCCACAACACUCCUGCUUUCGGACGGGUUGUGUGAAGGGGGCUAGUGUCGUCGUUUGUCUUCACGUGGGAGUUUUCUUUUUGUCUUUCUUGAGUGAGUUACUUCGGCAUGUAGAGACUGGUGUCACCGAGUCAGACAAGCAGGAGGCGGUGAGAGACACGGAGGGACCGUGCAGAGGAACGACAGAACAAAUGGACGAACGGAGACAGACAGAGGGGAGGACAGCUGAGAGCUGUCACUGAGGGAAUGACAAACGCACGCACGCACGCACGCACGCACGCACGCACGCACGC